GGAUGAAUGAGUAUGUCUCCGGAUCCUGAUGACGUCAGAGUUUGAGAGGCUGCGGUCCCCGGAAUUGGAUGAUGCCCUUUCUACCGCGGGAGUCAACCCGGCAGUCUCCUUCCAUCCAUCGUUCUCUAGACACUGUCAUGAUUUAGAGUUAUAAACUUAUUUCUUUAUAGUGUGUGUAUAUUAUAGUAACAAAGUAUUUGUGUGUGUGGAGA
rnacentral:lncRNA from 1 species